rnacentral:rRNA from 1 species
UGGAGGCAGCAGUAAGGAAUUUUGCGCAAUGGGCUAACGCCUGACGCAGCAACGCCGCGUGGAGGAUGAAGGUCUUUGGAUUGUAAACUCCUGUCAGCAGGGAAAAAGCGAUAGGUGCUCAUACCACCUAAAGUUGAUUGUACCUGCAGAGGAAGCCCCGGCUAACUCUGUGCCAGCAGCCGCGGUAAUACAGAGGGGGCAAGCGUUAUUCGGAAUUAUUGGGCGUAAAGGGCGCGUAGGCGGCUUGGCAAGUGAAAGGUGAAAUCCCUCGGCUUAACCGAGGAACUGCCUUUCAGACUGCUUUGCUUGAGGCCGGGAGAGGCGAGUGGAAUUCCCAGUGUAGCGGUGAAAUGCGUAGAUAUUGGGAGGAACACCAGUGGCGAAGGCGGCUCGCUGGACCGGUUCUGACGCUGAGGCGCGAAAGCGUGGGGAGCAAACGGGAUUAGAUACCCUGGUAGG